rnacentral:rRNA from 1 species
UUAAAUCACACCUAAUCUACUGGAUAGUUAACAGGUACUUGGAUACCUGCGGUAAUUCUGGAGCUAAUACAUGCGAAAAGCCUCGAACUUACGUGAGAGGCGCUUUUAUUAGAUCAAAACCAAUCGGCUUCGGCUGUACUCUUGGUGACUCUGAAUAACUUUGGGCUGAUCGUAUAGCCUUGCGCUGACGACAUAUCCUUCGAAGGUGUGCCCUAUCAACUGUCGACUGUGGCAUAGACGCCCACAGUGGUUUUGACGGGUAACGGGGAAUCAGGGUUCGAUUCCGGAGAGGGAGCCUUAAAAACGGCUACCACAUCUAAGGAAGGCAGCAGGCACGCAAAUUACCCAAUGAUCGAAGAUCGAGGUAGUGACGAAAAAUAACGAUCCAGGACUCAUCCGAGGCCCUGGAAUCGGAAUGAGUACACUUUAAAACCGUCCCCGAGGAUCUAUUGGAGGG